UCACUUCUAAUAUUCUUGUGCAGACACAACAUCCCCACACAACCUCCAUAAAUCUCCAUAAAUAAAAGCUCAAUCAUCAACUCAUCUCCAUCCUCUGAACGAAGCCAUACAAAGACAUGACAAAUCAAUAAUCACAAUUCAGACUUCUGCAAAUUAGCAUCAAAAUUCCAUCAUAGCAGAAUUUCUGCAGAAUUCCAGACUUGGAAACCAAUUCCUACGGACACAGAUAGUAGAAACUUCUUAAGGUUUGCUCUCUUCACCACUGUUACAGAUCUUGAUCUGUUGAAACAUUCCUCAUAUUAAAUCAGGAAGCCAUUUUUCGCAUAACCAAAUGUUACCAACACAGCAACAUCAACACAUCACUAUUAUCUUUGCUACAACUAUAGAGAUACAUCAUCUUGCAUAAUAUGUUUGUUUUCUGCCUUUCUAAUAAUGUUAUUAAAAAAAAAAAAAAACUGAAAAACACAAACUUGGGGCUGAUGUGUGUGCGCGUGAGUCCGGGGAGGGGGAGGGCUCCGGCUGGUUUUAUGAGGGCGGCAUAAGGAGGGGGAGGACCGGCGGCGGCUGUGGAGGCGGCCUGUAACUCCUGCUGUCCGUCGGUCAAGAGAGAAAGAGAUGGGUGGUGCUACUGUCGUUCGGAGAGGAGUCAGCAGAGCUGCUGCUGCUGUUGACGGCGGCGGUCCGGUUGGCUGUGGCUGUCGUUCGAAGAAUCAGAGGAGGAGGGAGGUGGCGAUGGCGGCGGUCCGGCUGACUGCUGAUGUCGGCUAGAGCAGAGGGGGCCAAGUCCGGCGGUAACCUCGUCGGAAAUCGUAGAAGAAAGAGGGUUUAGGGAUUUAGAGGGAGUGAUUUGUGGAUUUGGGGGUUUGGCGAAUUGAGGGAGGAGAGAGAAAGACAGAGAUAGAUGAGGGCGGCGGUGGUACGCCGGCGACGCACCGGCGAAUUGUAGGCAGCGGCGGCAGCGUGAGAUGAGAGGAAAGGAGAGAGAAAGUGGCGAGAAGGAGAGAGAAACCGAAUGGGAGAGUGAGAGUGAGAUCUUGUGUCUGUGUGUGUGCGUGAGAAAAAGGAGAAGAAAAGAGAGAUUGAUGAGUUGAGUUGGGCUCCAGCAUUGGGCCUUUAAUUAAGUGGGCUGCAUUUUUAUAGCUUGGGCUAUUUUAAUUAUAUUUUGGGCUGUAUUUUUUUAUAUGAAGAGAGCCUCUUAUUAAAUUACUUUGGGCCAUGAAUUUACUUAUUUGUGAAUUGAGUUUUUAAAGUAAAAACUGAGCAAGGGUAUUAUUGAAACCCUUAGCCAUAGAAAAAUGAUUUUUAAGUUUUAUGUUGAAUUUACGAAAACCCGGGUGUUGCGAAUCUAGUUAGAAAAUGAUGACAAGUCAUGAAGGUUAAGCUUGAUUUUAGGACUAUGAGUUUAAGUUGAGAACUUAUUUUGUAGGUCCUACAGAAGAGGAUAUUUAGGCUCUUGAUCAGCUGAGUCAUAUUGUUUGGAUUUUCUCCAAAUCAGAUUGAGCAGCUGGUGGUGACGUGCGAAGCUGAGGAAAGGUUGUUGCUGUAAUAUUGAAGAACACUUUGUUUUGCUUCCGCUGAAAUAAAUUCACUUGGUGAAUAUAAUCUUAUGCCUAACUAUACUUUAAAUCAUUUUAAUCUGGAUUCCAUUUUCCAUCGUUUUCCCAAGUGAUUGUUAUUCUGCAUAUAUAUAUUAUAUGCCUAAUAUGAAAUGUUGUUUUAGGCUCAGACCUUCGAACUUUCGAUCCUGAUAGGGAGAACAAUUACAUCAUAAUGUCAUGCUUAUUACCUUUGGAAUAUGACAUAUUUUUC